AUGUCGGCGGCGUCCUCCCCUCCUCCGGCCGACGCGGCGGCCGCGGGGGCGGAGACGGAGGCCGCGCCCGUCGUCUUCUACUGCUACGAGUGCCAGGCCACCGUCUCCCUCCCUGCGCCGGCCGCCACGCCCUCGCGGCUACUGCUCUGCCCCCGUUGCCGCAGCGACUUCCUCGAGGAGAACCCUAAUCCGUCGACCUCGUCCCCUCCACCGCCGCCGCCCCCGCCGUCGGGAUUCCUCUCCGACUCCUCGGAGGAGCCCGACGACAUCGACCUCGGGAUCGAUCACACCGCUGCCCAGGCCUACCUCACCCGCCUCGUUCGCCGCCUCUACGACGAUCCCACCUCCGUGGCCACCGCCGCGGCCGCGGCGGUGUCCGUGCUGCAGCAGCAGGGGCACAUCGGUGGGCAGGGCCAGCCCCCGGCGCCCGCGGCGUCCAUCGCCGCCGUGCCGACGGUGGAGGUGUCCGAGCCCGCCUCGGUCUGCGCCAUCUGCAAGGACGACCUCCCUCUCGCCGUCGCCGCGCGGAGGCUCCCCUGCGGUCACCUCUAUCACUCCGUUUGCAUCGUGCAGUGGCUGGAGAUGCACAAUUCCUGCCCUGUCUGCCGCUCUUGCCUCCCGCCCACUAUCCUCGAGGAGGUGGAGCCCCAGGAACUGGAUCGGCCACCAACACAGAUCACUAUCAGGUUUACCACCAACCGCCGCCGCAUCCGCACAAACAGUGAUGCAGUGGCUCCGGUCGCGACAUCGCCUACUCAGCUCGCAGAGGCGAUGACAGGGGAAGGAGGUACUGGACCUGCGAAUAGCGCAGAAACUGUAUCGUCUGAAUGGCCACCGCCCCCAGAAUCUGAUGCCGUCGUGUCAGAGACCCGUGAGAUUGAGGGCUUCUUUGAUUGA
rnacentral:rRNA from 1 species